UGUAAGCGUAUACCAAAGUUGUUGCAGUUAAAACGCUCGUAGUCGGAAUUUGGCAGUUCCGGAUGUGUGCACGUCUUGUGCGCACUUCGCGGGGAUUGCUUUUGUGGUCUUGCGUAGGAUGAGGCACUUUUAUUAGUGAACGUCCUCACGCAACCACUUUUUACUGUGAGAAAAUCAGAGUGCUCAAAGCAGGCAUUUGCCGUGAAUGUAUUAGCAUGGAAUAAUAGAAUAGGACUUGGUUCUAUUUUGUUGGUUUGUUGGGACUGAGUAAUGAUUAAGAGGGACAGUUGGGGGCAUUUGUAUUUCGGUGCUAGAGGUGAAAUUCUUAGAUUACCGAAAGACAAACUGCUGCGAAAGCGUCUGCCAAGGAUGUUUUCAUUGA
rnacentral:rRNA from 1 species